GUGAGGAAUAUUGGUCAAUGGGCGCAAGCCUGAACCAGCCAUGCCGCGUGCAGGAAGACGGUCCUAUGGAUUGUAAACUGCUUUUAUUUGGGAAUAAACUCCGGUACGUGUACCGGCCUGAAGGUACCAAAUGAAUAAGCACCGGCUAACUCCGUGCCAGCCGCCGCGGUAAUACGGAGGGUGCAAGCGUUAUCCGGAAUCAUUGGGUUUAAAGGGUCCGCAGGCGGUCUUAUAAGUCAGUGGUGAAAGCCUACAACUCAACUGUAGAUCUGCCAUUGAUACUGUAGGACUUGAAUUCGAUCGAAGUGGGCGGAAUGUGACAUGUAGCGGUGAAAUGCUUAGAUAUGUCACAGAACACCGAUAGCGAAGGCAGCUCACUAGGUCUGGAUUGACGCUCAGGGACGAAAGCGUGGGGAGCAAACAGGAUUAGAUACCCUGGUAGUCC
rnacentral:rRNA from 1 species